CCGAGUUCAUGCCCUUCGGGGUAGAUCUCCCACCCUUUGUAUACUAUACCUUUGUUGCUUUGGCGGGCCGCCUAGCUACUGGCUUCGGCUGGUAAGUGCCCGCCAGAGAACCCAAAACUCUGAAGUAUAGUGUCGUCUGAGUACUAUUUAAUAGUUA
rnacentral:misc_RNA from 1 species